CGAGACCCCACCUGGGGCUGGAGAUGCUGGAUUCGGAUCUGGGGGCUCCUUGGUGCUCUGUGAACCUGGAUGUUUCAUUACCAAACUAGUAGCCGUGAAUGCUGGGGAAGGUUCCACCCUGGGAUUCCCGAGAUCUCCUCAUUUCCACCCACUCCACACAGAGGGGACGUUUGCCCAGAGUCUGUGACACGGACGGCCUGUCAGUUUAGUCCAUGAAAUG